rnacentral:rRNA from 1 species
UACGGAGGGUGCAAGCGUUAUCCGGAUUUACUGGGUUUAAAGGGUGCGUAGGUGGUUAAGAAAGUCAGUGGUGAAAUCUUCAGGCUUAACCUGGAAACUGCCGUUGAUACUAUUUAUCUUGAAUACUUUGGAGGUAAGCGGAAUAUGUCAUGUAGCGGUGAAAUGCUUAGAUAUGACAUAGAACACCAAUUGCGAAGGCAGCGUACUACACAGUAAUUGACACUGAGGCACGAAAGCGUGGGGAUCAAACAGG